GUGUGUAUUAGGGGGGGACGGUCGGGCGGAGGUAUUAUGUAACCAAGUGCACACAGCCCUCUGAAACAAUUAACAUCGCCACAGGCGAAAAAAAAAAAAAGAGCAUGUUCCGUCACAGGACUAAAGAAGAGUACUGUACAAUAUCUAGAGCUAAUACUAGAGGUCGACAGAUGUCUGUUAUAUAACCAAUACUGGAAUACUAAAGAGGAGUACUGUACAAUAUCUAGAGCUAAUACUGGGGGUCGACAGAUGUCUUAUAUGAUUAAUUCUGAGGACUAAAGAGGAGUACUGUACAUUAUUUAGAGCUAAUACUGGAGGUCGACAGAUGUCUUAUAUGAUUAAUUCUGAGGACUAAAGAGGAGUACUGUACAAUAUCUAGAGCUAAUACUGGGGGUCGACAGAUGUCUUAUAUGAUUAAUUCUGAGGACUAAAGAGGAGUACUGUACAAUAUCUAGAGCUAAUACUGGAGGUCGACAGAUGUCUGUUAUAUAAUUAAUACUGGAGGUCGACAGAUGUCUGUUAUAUAAUUAAUACUGGAGGUCGACAGAUGUCUGUUAUAUAAUUAAUACGGGAGGACUCAAGAAACCUCUAUACACAAAUCGAGGAAUACAGAGGACCUCUGAAGCUUGUUGGACUUGUUGGUCCAUCGUUUUAGUUUACCAUCAUAAAACCAUUAACUUUGUUUUCAAACAGUGUAUGUAUAACAUUUUAUUUGUGCAUGGUUUUCAUUUAUUUAAACAGGUAUUUGCAAUAAAAAUCACUUGAUUUUAUACUUG